AAUAGAUACCCGGGUAGUCCAUGCCGUAAACGUUGGGCGCUAGAUGUGGGGACCAUUCCACGGUUUCCGUGUCGCAGCUAACGCAUUAAGCGCCCCGCCUGGGGAGUACGGCCGCAAGGCUAAAACUCAAAGAAAUUGACGGGGGCCCGCACAAGCGGCGGAGCAUGCGGAUUAAUUCGAUGCAACGCGAAGAACCUUACCAAGGCUUGACAUAUACGAGAACGCUCUAGAAAUAGAGAACUCUUUGGACACUCGUAUACAGGUGGUGCAUGGUUGUCGUCAGCUCGUGUCGUGAGAUGUUGGGUUAAGUCCCGCAACGAGCGCAACCCUCGUUCUAUGUUGCCAGCGGUUCGGCCGGGAACUCAUAGGAGACUGCCGGGGUCAACUCGGAGGAAGGUGGGGAUGACGUCAAAUCAUCAUGCCCCUUAUGUCUUGGGCUUCACGCAUGCUACAAUGGCCGGUACAAAGGGUUGCAAUACCGUAAGGUGGAGCGAAUCCAAAAAGCCGGUCUCAGUUCGGAUUGAGGU
rnacentral:rRNA from 1 species